rnacentral:misc_RNA from 1 species
UUCACAUAGCUCAGUGGUGCGCACCCAUAGACUUAUAAAUCUAUGUGCGCACCCUGUGAGUUGUCUGUUGUGUGCUCGAUCAACGGUAAAUACACAUGGCAAGAGGGCGAGGAGGAGGGGAGAAGGGAUUUGUCAUUGGAAAAUUAGAAUUGUAAUGAAAAGUGGGUGAAAAGUUGAUGAAAAGCUUGUGGUGAAGCUGAGAACAUGAUUUCAUUUUCGUUAGAAGUGCACUUGUGCCAAUAUUUCGUUUCAAAAUGUGAACAUGACCUUUAGAAAUGACAAAGUCUGAUGGAACUUGCCAAAAUGACUCCCAAACGAAAGACAACCAGCUCGGAAUCAACUUCAAGCAGUAGCUCAGGCUCAUCGUCGAGCAGCUCAUCGAGUUCAGGUAGCGAGUCAAGUUCUUCCGAUUCUGAGAAUUCCAGUAGUUCUGCGAAUAGUCGGAAGGUUUCGGAUUCGGAGAAAGGAAAGAAGAAGACAGCAUUUGUAUUGGGACGUCAUGGAAAGCCUAAAAAUGAAACGAGUGGAGCACUUUCUGUGGAAACCAAGAGCAAGGAGAAAAAUCCUCCAAAAAUUAGACCCGUUGUCUAUUCCUCAGAGUCUGAAGAAGCUCCUAAUAAACUGAAAUCUACGAAAAGAAAACCACCUGCUAAACCGAAGGCUACUGCUACUGUUGCUCCUGUAGUUAAGGCUCAAAAGGUCGUCAACAAAGCCCCACCAGCUACUGGUAAAACUGCAUCCAGUGUUAAAAUUUCGCCGAAUAAAUCUAGCAAACCAUCAGGUGCUGCAGCAAGUACCAAACCUACAGAGAAAAUUAGCAAAGUUGCAGCAGAGCCUGUGCAAAAAAAGUUGAAGAAAAAGAGCAUAUUCAGUCCUGAGAACAGCAGCGAAAGCGACACUCCGACUGUGGCAAAACCUGCUGUAAUGAAAGUAGCAGGGCCGUUGAUUAAGGCAGCUAAAUCACAGCAAUCAAAGGUUGUGAAGGGGGGCGAAGUAAAACCCAGAGGAGUUCUGCCAAGCAGAGCUGCACUGGUAAUUAAGCAACAACAACAACAACAACAGCAGCAGCAUCAGCAGCAGCAGCAGCAACAGGAACAGCAACAGCAUCGUCAGAAAUCUGAAAGCUCUGCUAGCUCUAAGAGCUGUUCCGGAGGAUCUGGGUCUUCUGGCUCAACUGAAAGUAGUUCAGAUUCCGAAUCAUCAGAUAGUCCUACAACUCCGCAGCCACAGCAGAAAAAGAAAGACACUGCUACUGUUGUCAAUGCUGUUUCUAGCGGUCCUGCAAAGAGACCAACUGCAAACGUACUCGCAAUAUCAAGUAUUGGCAAGCAACAGAGAGGAUCAUCGAAACGCCAAGAUCUGGUUAAAAGUGAGGAAGAAGGUGAGCUCUCGGACACGGACAAGGAGAUAGACACCGAAGGUAAUGGUCCAACAAAAUCGACAGCAAAAGGAAAAAGAAAACUGCAGACACGCAGAGGUAGCAAGCUUUUGCAGUUACAUACGAAACCAACGAGCGACACCGAAUCCGACACAGAGAGCAAGAGGAGCACCAGCAAAUCUCCAGUAAAACGUGCUGGACCAGGGACUGCUAGGCAUCAGUCACUUGUUGGACGAAGCGGUGACAACGGAGGACGAGGGCAGGAUACAAGAGUACUGACACGUACACGUAUGGGCACAAAGGAACGCGAGUGUCCUUUAGCCCUAUCCUGUGACUCACGCGGCCACCUUUCAGGUCGGUUCGAAACACAUUUCACCCUCGAAGCGUGUCCCCUAUAUCACAAUACCACGCCGCAGGCUUGUGUAGAGUUUUACAAGGAGCGCAAAAAGCAUGAAGAGGAGCGUAAGAAGGCCCUUUCGAAUUUGGCUAAAAAAUCACCCAAGGGCUUGCACCAGACUAAUGAGCAGCGAAACUAUCAGCUCAAGGUGAAAGAGAUGCGAAAUAAAUUAAAGGCGGGUAGUGGCAGUGGUAAUGAAAGCACAAGCGGAGGAGAACACCAUGGGAUUGAAAAAGAUCGUCAACCAAAAGUGAACAAUCUCACCUCGGAUUAUGAUCUCAAAUUAUUCAUGGAGGCUCAAGCCAUCGCAAGCGAGAAAAUUGAGAGAGAAUUGAGAGAAUUGGGAAGCGGCGACGGGGGUGAGAGCAGCGGUCGCAGCUGCAGCGGAAAUGGAGUAGGAACCCGUUGCGUAGAAAUGGGGCGUUGGGAGAUGGAAGUAUGGUACCAGAGUCCAUAUCCGGAAGAGUUCAGCAGAGCGCCGAAGCUGUAUCUGUGUGAAUUUUGCCUGAGAUACGCGAAAAGCCGUCAGGUGCUACGUCGACACCGCGACAAGUGCCUGUGGAGACAUCCGCCAGGACACGAGGUAUACCGGAAGGACAAGAUUGGCGUGUGGGAAGUUGAUGGGAAACGGUAUAAACAGUACUGCCAAAACCUCUGCCUUCUCGCCAAGUUCUUCCUGGACCACAAAACCCUUUACUACGACGUCGAGCCGUUCCUAUUCUACGUCAUGACGAUCGGCGACUCGGAAGGAUGUCACACCGUCGGUUACUUCAGCAAGUGUAUAAACGCAGCUGGGUUGAAUGAAUUAUAUCAUAAUCGAAGGGAUGCUUGCUGUCUGCUUGCCGUACCCCUUUGGCCCCUUGGAAUACCUGCAGAACGUCACAUCGACGACGCGAGAAGAACUCGUUUUUGAAUUACAACGUGUCUUGCAUCCUGACUCUGCCACCGUACCAGCGCCAGGGAUACGGUCGCCUUCUCAUCGACUUUAAUGAUUCCGCUACACUGAAAGCCACAGAGAGAGUUUAUCGAUCGCGUUGUAUAACGUACGGCAAGGGGAGAUGGUGCAGUCUUCUUCGCUUCACAAUAGGAUUUCAGUGUAUA